rnacentral:tRNA from 1 species
GCCCGGGUGGUGGAAUGGCAGACACGGCUGGCUUAAACCCGGCUGCCGAGAGGCGUGCGGGUUCGAAUCCCGCCCCGGGCA